rnacentral:rRNA from 1 species
AACGUAGGUUCCGAGCGUUAUCCGGAUUUACUGGGCGUAAAGCGCGUUCAGGCGGUUUGGCAAGUCGGGCAUGAAAUCUCUCGGCUCAACCGGGAGAGGUUGUCCGAUACUUCCAGACUUGAGGGCAGUAGAGGGUGGUGGAAUUCCGGGUGUAGUGGUGAAAUGCGUAGAUAUCCGGAGGAACACCAGUGGCGAAAGCGGCCACCUGGACUGCACCUGACGCUGGACACGCGAAA